UAUACUUUUUUGGACUUAACAAAAUUUUAGUAUAAACGAUAUAUUUUUGCAAAUGUUCUAAUAGCACAAGAUAAAAAAAUAGACCACGCACAACAGAUCAAUAGACGUAUUCGAAACUUCAGAGAAAAACUUGGGUGAGCUGCGAAGUUUAAAGGACAUAAAUUCUCAUCAUGGCGUCACAAGAUAUAAAUCUAAUGACUGAUGCACAAGUUCUAGAAAUGUUCAAUAAAUGCAAUUUUGGGACUUUAUUAGCUCCCAUCAUUAAUACAGUUGAUGAAUCAACGGUGAUAAUAAUAACAAUGCCUUCACCAGAACCCGAACUCAUAGAAGUAUAUGUUUAUAUGCGCAGCGAAUUGGACAAUAUUUUACUAGGUCACAUCUCUUGUCGCCAAUUAGACUUAGACAUCUUUAACAGAUUACGACCACAAAUAUGUCCAGACGCAAUGGUGGUUAAUACUGAUGUAUGGAUAAACAGUGAAGCUGUUACACAAUGGCUUGCAACAAUGUAAACACAGAGAUUAACUUCACAACUUAUAAAACCAACACAAAAAAGCCAGAUAGCAACAAAAGUAUUGAUAAAGUUGCUUACUAUUUUAAUCGGUAAUGUAAUCGAUAUUAGUCACUAUUUCGUUAAAUAAGCAUUUCCACUGAUUCUAAUUACAAGCGAAUACCAUUUGGACAAGCUGAUCUACACAAUCUUUUUACGCAUCUCCUUACUGAAGCGCAUUAUUCGAACGGAAUAUUCUUCGACUUCUGUUGCACAUAAAGAUCUUGCGUAAAAUUUAUGCUUGUAGUUUCUCCAGAACCAUGAAGACUUUGCCGUGACGUCAAUUGUCACUUCAUGUCAACUUCAUGAAGUGCAAAACGAUAAUUUUACAGUUGUAAUUAAAAACGGCGAAGAAAAAACUAAAUAAUGUUAAAAAAAUUUGAAUUGAAACAAGAGAUUAUUUUUUGACUUGAUUGUACUAUGGAAUUCCACAAUAAAGGAUUACCAUGUGGUAAUUAGAUUUCAACCUAAAAGGAGCACUAUUUCAAUCAAUACAAUUGUUUCUGCAAUCAGGAAUAAAAUGUGUAAAGAAUGUCAUUGAUUUCGAAUAGGAACCCAACCCAAUAUAUCGGGUCUAUUGUUUAUUAAGCCAACGUCCUUGCUGUCGAGAAAAUAGGUCGGUUAAUUUCAGUAGAAAAUCUAAAAAAUUAAUGUAUUAUUGCCACAAUACAAACACUGGAAAACUUAACUGAGGUCAAUGAGUAGUUAGUGCAUAAUAUUACUGAUUUGGGCUUCAGAGUACCAAAAUAUACAAAAAAAUGAAAUUGCAAAUACAUACUCAACAGAGAAAUAUAUACUAAAAAUUUAAACGAGCACGACCUAACAACAAUGAAAAUCCUAUUGUGCAGAGCUGAGAUCGGAAAUAAGCAUAACUCGUGAUCGUCGUAACAGGUUGUUGACUACAAGGCGUCCAUUCCUUAAAAAUCACUCAAGAACUGUUAUGUAUCGGAAAGUUCUUUGAAAGUUUUAAGAGAGCUACUAAACCAUACCCCAAAUGGAAUCAGUUUUAAUAGAUCUUUUAACUUAUUAAAUAAAUGGAUUAAAUUAACGUGAACGCUUUAAAUAACUUAAUACAGUAAAAUUUCGCAGAGAUAACAGAAUAACAGAAUAAUAUAGACGUCCAAAGUAAGCUUAAAAUUGAUUUCCUGUUUUUUAUAUUAAAUAUUAUUGAACAUCCUAAAUUAU